ACCUCUAUCGACUCAAUACGCUUGGCUACGAAAUAUAGACAACAACCUCCUAUUGUACAGAAACCUUCUGCAGUCAAAAGCAGCGCUGCAACGUAAUGGCCUUUGUGGCAGCUUUAUUCUUGCUUACCUUUGUUGCUUUCCGACUUGCUUACGUUGUGGAUGAAACUUGUGAUGGAAAAGGCUUUGGAUGCAUAUUUUUCGCCGACUGUCCGCCGAAUACAUCAGUGCCCCUUCCUGGAUGUUCAGGAUGGAAAUCUUGUUGUGGAGAUCCGAAGCUUGGAGAGUGCUACUACAAGGGAGGUGUUUGCAAGGACAAUUGCAGCGAUUCAGAUAUUGAGCAGAAGUAUGGACGCUGUACCAGAAACCGAACGUGCUGUGUUCCCUUAGCCAAAUCUCCUCGAUAUUUUUAACAACGGCUACAUUUUAAACUUGACACCCGGUAAGAACCGUUAUAUAAUUCUC